UAGACCAAAUAUUCACCAUUUCCCUUACAACAAACAACCUGGAGCCACCUUUCUUCAAAGACAUCAAUGGCUGUUUAAGAUCAGUGAACACAACAGACCCAAUUCGUCGCCCGUUUUCCGUCGGGAUUCACCAGAAAUCAACCUCCCCAUCCUCUUCUCUUCAAUAACCCAGCAACGACCAUCCCAAACGACCCAUCUUCGACCUAUAAAACCAACGGCAGCAGCUCACACAAAUGACCCCUUCUCUUGAACGAAAAUGGCGGAAGCCCAGACCCCUCCCCUGCUUCAUUCUCACAUCUGACUCUUCACCCUCCCUCACUUCUCUGAAAAACGCAUACACACAGACUUAAAACGAGAAAGAGAGGAAGUUUGCACUUCAAAUUUUAGAUCUAGAAAACUUCAAAAGAAGAGAAAAAAAAUCGAAAAAAGAGAUUAAAAGACCGUUUAGAUUUUCUCUUCAUGGUUUAAUCAUUUCUGGGUUUUGAGGGCUGUUUGAGUUAUAAAUUUGAUGUUCGUCUGCUGAUUUUGUUAUUCCGACUCACUUUCGUCGAGUUUUUCUCGUCGAGUUUACAUUUUCGUAUUCAACAAAUCUUCAUGUAUAUAAAAAGAGGUCCGAAUUAGUUGGUUUGUCGCUGCUGAUUUUCUGCUGUAGAAACAUGGCUGAGUUCGUUUUUCAGUUUUCCGACCUUUAAAUUUUAUUUCCGGUGCUGUUUUCAAGGAUGUUCUCAUAUUACAAGCUCGCACAAACGCUGAAGUUAAACGAGAGUUGAGAGCAAAAUAGCAAGGUAUUUUGGAAGUAAUUCAUGUGUGAUUCAAGUGUGCGAACCUGAAACUACAUGAACCAGAUAGAAGAACCAGUUCCAAGUGUCUAUCUUUUAUCCUAAUUCAAUUGUAGUAGGGCUUUUGAGUUGUGCCUUUCAUCUUUCUCUAGAAGUAUUUGUACUACAUACUCUAAGUGUAUUGUUCAAGUUACAGUUAACUUGAAAUUAUCACAACAGUCUCAGGCUAGUUUCCAUAAAGGGUUAGAGGUAAUACUUAGGUUUAGAAGUGUUUUGUAAAUACCAUUUUGGCUUAGUGAUUUAGUGAAGUGUUGGGAAAAUCCUACUAGGUA